GAAACAGCAAAAUCCUCUUCUCCUCUGUAGGUUCCUCGUCUCCUCUGUAGGGUUAUGUUCCUGCUUCAAUGCCAUUGCCAUGAACUCAGUCACUUAGUGAUCACUUCCUCCACCUGCCAUAAUGAUCAGAUAGCAAGUCAAUGUAUUACCUAAUCAAAUCCAAAUCCAAAAUCAAAGUCUGCCCUUCAAUUUAAAAUGAGGAAUUUGCGAUUCAUUUCUCCACAUUUAUCAAUAUUCCACAAAACCCUCCUUCAAAACCCUACAAAAUGGCUACCCAAAUCCUCUGUUUUCACUCGUAAUUUGUCUUCCGCUUCUCGAGAAUGGAGCCCAUCUGCUCCAUCUGAUAAACUCGCCGCCCUCGUCGAUGAGAUCUCCCAACUAACGCUUCUCGAAAUCUCUGACCUUACCGAGGUCCUUCGCGACAAGUUGGAUAUCAAGGAGAUGCCAGUAAUGGCUGUAAUGAUGCCUGGGAUGGGGUUUAGUGGCGUGAAGGGCGUCGCCAAGGGAGGAGCAGGUGCGGUGGCCAAGGGAGAGGAGAAGGUGGAGAAGACGGUGUUUGAUGUGAAGCUUAAAGGGUUUGAUGCCGCGGUGAAGAUCAAGGUGAUUAAGGAAGUUAGAGGGUUUACGGAUUUGGGACUGAAGGAGGCAAAGGACUUGGUGGAGAAGGCUCCCACGCUGUUGAAGAAAGGAGUGACAAAAGAGGAGGCUGAGAAAAUUAUGGUGAAGAUGAAAGAGGUUGGCGCCAAAGUCACCAUGGAGUGAGGAAGUAGGUCUCUGCUUGUUUUCUGUAUUUGGUUUUGCAUAUGCAUUUCUGCCUCUGUAGGAGAAUACACCUUUGAGCAGGAAACAAACAUUAAUAUAAUAUUAUGGUUUUUGUGCUUUUUCUGCUAAGUUAGCUUUCUAGGAUUAUAUUACAUGCGAUGGCAGUGGAUGCAAGAUUUUACACUUCCUAGAUACAUAGUGAAAUGUGAAUUGCUUUCUAUGUUUUGCUGCUACAUGGAGACAUGAACUAUUCAGUCAAUUACUCGAUUCUAUAGAAUUUAGCGAACUAUGGAGAGGGAUUCACUUGGACAUAGCAGUGACUUGUAUUAGUCUGUUUCAAGCACUAGUCUUUCAGUUAAGGGAUAAGGUUUAGAAAAUUCUCAUUUAUUAUAGCUUUAGCAAGGGUAGAUGAUGAGAGGACUCUUUUGGCAGUUUCCUUGAAUGAUUGUCAAGACCAUUAUUCGGACAUAGAGAAUAUAAAUUUUGUACAAGUGAGGAUUAGAGAUUCUCAACCAUUUCACUUUGUUUAUUUCAGUCCUGUAACUUCUUUGUACAAAUUGACUAUUUUCUUUAAUUAAUGGGAACAGUCUUAUCGUUCAGGAUGGCAAAAUUUGUACUGUAACAAAUUAAUCAUCUUUAUAUAUAUCAGAGCUAGAGUAAAAUGAAGUAAUUGUGUAAACAAGCAAACAAUGCUGCGUCCUUGAUGGUGGGCAAUUGAUGGAAGGAAUGACAAAAUGGAAUCUGGGCCCAUGUUAUGAUAUUUUGUUGUCUUUCACUUGAUAGUUUUAGUUCACCUUGAAAAUAAUUUAAAAUUCAGUAGAAACUUGGCUUCUUAAAGACUGCAUUGUUAGUUCAUAAAAGAUUUUGUAGUUGUACACAACAUUGCUUGUGGUGUUUAGGAGAACCAGAAAGCGAAGGAGUUGGAUACUAGACAUAAUGUGCUGAUGGAAAUCGCUCGUUAGACAACUGUGGAAAACCAUACAUUUAGGACAGGUUCAACAAGGAGAAAAAUUGUAGCAUAAAUGUGAAGGUUCACUAGUUGUUAGCAUUCUCUGGAAAGGCUCCUUGUUCUCUUGUUUCUAUUUGUCUUGUAUAUGAGACAGGAAGAGUAUUUUCCUGCAAGUGGGAAGAAAACAAAAGAGAGGGAAAUAUUAUCUAAAUGCUACAUGUCAUUGAGUACACAAUGAAGUUCAUUGCAAAAACUUCUCAAUAGCUGGAGAAUGCCCCAAUGCAAUAAUCUUUUGCAGAGCUAGUUUGUGCUGUUACAAUUAAUUUUAAUGCAUUUGUGGAAUAAUCUUACCAAGUUCAUUUUUAUUGUGGACUCAGGAAUUAUGCUACAUGCAAUUUAAUUACUUUUUAAUAUUUUGUGUUUUCUUAAUUUAGACUUCCUCCAAGGAUAAAAGAUUAAAGAACAAGAAGUGAAAGGCUUCCACUGACGUAUCUUGUUGAAAUCAAGAUUGCUGAUAUUGUUGCAUCAUGCUGGAUGUCCUGGCAGACAAUGAAGACUGAUGUAGUUUUUUUCUUAAUGCAGGAAAUUUUUGUUAGAAACUUGAUUAUUCUUUUGACUUGGAAGAAGUCAUUAGUUUUCCCAAUUUUGAAUGUCUUUAAUUUCCUGAUUAUUAGAAUACCUGUUGUAGAAUUGGAUCGGGUUCCUGAUGAUAAAUUCAUGAAAUACUGUAUGAAUUGUAUCUUGCAGCAUUUCCACUGUUUGAUUUUAGUGCCAGGAAAAACUUCCUGCUGGGAACGACAAUAAAUAACAAAACAAGUUCUUAACAGGGUUUGUUGGAGACUCAAAGUCUAUCUACUUUGAAUCUUUGGUUGUGGUUAUUCUUAUAUAUGAAUGAGGAAGAUCAGAUGUACAAAUACAGUAGUACUUGUAUGUUUUCUUGGUUGUUAAUCUCUGUUUGGGUUUGAA
rnacentral:misc_RNA from 1 species